GACGAACGCUGGCGGCGUGCUUAACACAUGCAAGUGGAGCGACGAACCAGGGCUUGCCCUGGGGCAGAGCCGCGAACGGGUGAGUAACACGUGGGUAACGUGCCCCGAUGACUGGGACAACCCGGGGAAACCCGGGCUAAUACCGGAUACGCCCCCUCACGCGAGUGAGGUGUGCAAAGGAAGCUUCGGCCUCCGCAUCGGGAGCGGCCCGCGGCGCAUUAGCUUGUUGGUGGGGUAACGGCCUACCAAGGCAGCGAUGCGUAGCUGGUCUGAGAGGACGAUCAGCCACACUGGGACUGAGACACGGCCCAGACUCCUACGGGAGGCAGCAGUGGGGAAUCUUGCGCAAUGCGCGAAAGCGUGACGCAGCAACGCCGCGUGGGGGAAGAAGGCC
rnacentral:rRNA from 1 species